rnacentral:rRNA from 1 species
UGGGGAAUAUUGGACAAUGGGCGGAAGCCUGAUCCAGCCAUGCCGCGUGUGUGAAGAAGGCCUUAGGGUUGUAAAGCACUUUAAGCAGGAAAGAAAAGCGCCGGAUUAAUACUCCGAGCGUGUUGACGGUACCUGCAGAAUAAGCACCGGCUAACUCCGUG